rnacentral:rRNA from 1 species
UAAGGAAUAUUGGUCAAUGGGCGCAAGCCUGAACCAGCCAUGCCGCGUGCAGGAUUAAGGCCCUAUGGGUUGUAAACUGCUUUUGUACGGGAAGAAACAGAGGUUCGUGAACCUCCUUGACGGUACCGUAAGAAUAAGGAUCGGCUAACUCCGUG